rnacentral:lncRNA from 1 species
UGAGAAUGUUGGUGGCUGAAGGGAAGAGAGGGACAAAUAAGAAGGACACAUGGUACUGCCUGCCGAAGCCUCAGAACAAAGAUCACGAGAGAAUGGUGAGCUGUAAGUGCAGGCGAAUAUAUGGAAAGCAAUUCCUUGGACUAAUAUGGAGCCCAUACAGGUACGUGGACCUUGCACAAAGUCGGGAAGACCAACUGGAACAGAAAGAGAUGCAAUCAUUUUACCUAAAUUCAUUUAUUGACCCACAAGGGUAGGAAAGACUUUGCACUGCAUUCUGAUGUACAUCAUCUCAGUUUGUGUGGUGAAAGAAAAAAUAAAUUUUGUUGCUCUUGUACC